rnacentral:rRNA from 1 species
GACGAACGCUGGCGGCGUGCUUAACACAUGCAAGUCGAACGGAAAGGCCCUGCUUGCAGGGUACUCGAGUGGCGAACGGGUGAGUAACACGUGGGUGAUCUGCCCUGCACUUCGGGAUAAGCUUGGGAAACUGGGUCUAAUACCGGAUAGGAGCCAUCUUUAGUGUGGUGGUUGGAAAGUUUUUUCGGUGUAGGAUGAGCUCGCGGCCUAUCAGCUUGUUGGUGGGGUAAUGGCCUACCAAGGCGGCGACGGGUAGCCGGCCUGAGAGGGUGUACGGCCACAUUGGGACUGAGAUACGGCCCAGACUCCGACGGGAGGCAGCAGUGGGGAAUAUUGCACAAUGGGCGCAAGCCUGAUGCAGCGACGCCGCGUGGGGGAUGAAGGCCUUCGGGUUGUAAACUCCUUUCGCUAGGGACGAAGCUUUUUGUGACGGUACCUAGAGAAGAAGCACCGGCUAACUACGUG